UUGAGGGCUUCGGUUCUUGGUUUAGUGGCGCACGGGUGCGUAACGCGUAUGCAACCUACCUCUCACUGGGGGAUAGCCCGGGGAAACCCGGAUUAAUACCGCAUAAGAUAGCUGGCCUGGCAUCAGGUUGUUAUUAAAGCUUUGGCGGUGGGAGAUGGGCAUGCGUGCCAUUAGCUGGUUGGUAGUGUAACGGACUACCAAGGCUUCGAUGGCUAGGGGCUCUGAGAGGACGGUCCCCCACACUGGUACUGAGACACGGACCAGACUCCUACGGGAGGCAGCAGUAGGGAAUAUUGGGCAAUGGCCGCGAGGCUGACCCAGCCAUGCCGCGUGCAGGAUGAAGGCCUUCUGGGUUGUAAACUGCUUUUAUCAGGGAAGAAAACGCUCCUGCGGGAGUAACUGACGGUACCUGAUGAAUAAGCACCGGCUAACUCCGUGCCAGCAGCCGCGGUAAUACGGAGGGUGCAAGCGUUGUCCGGAUUUAUUGGGUUUAAAGGGUGCGUAGGCGGCCCGUUAAGUCAGCGGUGAAAUCCCAGGGCUCAACCCUGGAACUGCCGUUGAUACUGGCGGGCUUGAGUUUGGUCGAGGCGGGCGGAACUGGUGGUGUAGCGGUGAAAUGCAUAGAUACCACCAAGAACCCCGAUUGCGUAGCAGCUCGCUAGGCCAAAACUGACGCUGAGCACGAAAGCGUGGGGAGCGAACAGGAUUAGAUA
rnacentral:rRNA from 1 species